rnacentral:rRNA from 1 species
AGUGAACGCUGGCGGUAGGCCUAACACAUGCAAGUCGAACGGCAGCACAGUAAAAGCUUGCUCUUACGGGUGGCGAGUGGCGGACGGGUGAGGAAUACAUCGGAAUCUACUUUUUCGUGGGGGAUCACGUAGGGAAACUUACGCUAAUACCGCAUCCGACCUACGGGUGAAAGCAGGGGAUCUUCGGACCUUGCGCGAUUGAAUGCGCCGAUGUCGGAUUAGCUAGUUGGCGGGGUAAAGGCCCACCAAGGCGACGAUCCGUAGCUGGUCUGAGAGGAUGAUCAGCCACACUGGAACUGAGACACGGUCCAGACUCCUACGGGAGGCAGCAGUGGGGAAUAUUGGACAAUGGGCGCAAGCCUGAUCCAGCCAUACCGCGUGUGUGAAGAAGGCCUUCGGGUUGUAAAGCCCUUUUGUUGGGAAAGAAAAGCAGCAGGUUAAUACCCCGCUGUUCUGACGGUACCCAAAGAAUAAGCACCGGCUAACUUCGUG